GUGCCACCUUUGAGUCCCCUGAGCCACAAGGAGGGGUUAGGCUGCAGCAUUAUAGCAAUUGCUGGCACAUCACUGGGGCUACCUGCCCGUUACAGGCGGCCCUAAAAAAAAGAAAAAAAC